rnacentral:rRNA from 1 species
UGGGGAAUCUUCCGCAAUGGACGAAAGUCUGACGGAGCAACGCCGCGUGUAUGACGAAGGCCUUCGGGUUGUAAAGUACUGUCUUUGGGACGAACGGUAUCUAUGUAAAUAAUGCAGAUACAUGACGGUACCCAAGGAGGAAGCCCCGGCUAACUACGUGCCAGCAGCCGCGGUAAUACGUAGGGGGCGAGCGUUGUCCGGAAUCAUUGGGCGUAAAGGGCGCGUAGGCGGGUCAUUAAGUCUGGUGUGAAAGGGCAGGGGCUCAACCCCUGGAAGGCACCGGAACUGUUAUCUUGAGGACAGGAGAGGAAAGCGGAAUUCCACGUGUAGCGGUGAAAUGCGUAGAUAUGUGGAGGAACACCAGUGGCGAAGGCGGCUUUCUGGACUGUAACUGACGCUGAGGCGCGAAAGCGUGGGGAGCAAAACAGGAUUAGAUACCCUGGUAGUCCACGCCGUAAACGAUGAGUGCUAGGUGUAGAGGGUAUCGACCCCCUUCUGUGCCGCAGUUAACACAAUAAGCACUCCGCCUGGGGAGUACGCCGCAAGGUUGAAACUCAAAUGAAUUGACGGGGUCAUAGCUGUUUCCUG